GUUAUUUUGGCAGAGUAGUGCGUGAGAUUUAGAAUCUUUUAAUGUAAAUUUUACAUUUAACA
rnacentral:tRNA from 1 species